rnacentral:misc_RNA from 1 species
UCCCCCGUGAGGGGGCAGUCUCGCCAGACACUUGUAACUGGCAAUGAGGGUUGCGUUCGUUUCCCCACUGAAGGGAACAGUUCAAACCACGAACUGACGACGGCCAUGCGUCACCUGUCCAGCACCCUCGAAGGCUCCGUCCCUUUCAGGUCGGAUGCAGCUGGAUUUCUAAUCUUGGUAAGGUUUUUCGUUUGACUACGAAUUAAGCCACGUCAUCCACCGCUUGUGCAAGUCCCCGUCUAUUCCUCUGAGUUUUAGCCUUGCGGCCGUACUACCCAGGCGCCAAACUUAACGCGUUAGCUUCGCCACCCAGAGGGUCGAUACUCCGGGAAGCCAGUUUGGAUCGUUUAGGGCGUGGACUA